GCGGAUAUAGAUUAAAGGUAAAUUGUCUGCCUUCCAAGCAGAGGACCAACUAUGGGUUCGAUUCCCGUUAUCCGCA
rnacentral:tRNA from 1 species